UCAUCCUGGCCCGUUUGCGGAAGACCGCACAC
rnacentral:sRNA from 1 species